rnacentral:rRNA from 1 species
AGAGUUUGAUCCUGGCUCAGGAUGAACGCUGGCGGCGUGCUUAACACAUGCAAGUCGAAGGAGCUUAUGUGAUAGAGGAUUCGUCCAAUUGAUCAUAAGCUUAGUGGCGGACGGGUGAUAACGCGUGAGGAAUCUGCCUUGGAGUGGGGAAUAACACAGUGAAAAUUGUGCUAAUACGCAUAAUGCAGUUGAGUCGCAUGGCUCUGACUGCCAAAGAUUUAUCGCUCUGAGAUGACUCGCGUCUGAUUAGCUAGUUGGUAGGGUAACGGCCUACCAAGGCGACGAUCAGUAGCCGACUGAGAGGUUGGCCGGCCACAUUGGGACUGAGACACGGCCCAGACUCCUACGGGAGGCGCAGUGGGGAAUAUUGGGCAAUGGGCGCAAGCCUGACCCAGCAACGCCGCGUGAAGGAAAAGGCUUUCGGGUUGUAAACUUCUUUUGUCAGGGACGAACACAAUGACGGUACCUGACGAUAAGCCACGGCUAACUACGUGCCAGCAGCCGCGGUAAUACGUAGGUGGCAAGCGUUAUCGGAUUUACUGGGUGUAAAGGGCGUGUAGGCGGGACUGCAAGUCAGAUGUGAAAACUCGGGCUCAACCUCGAGCCUGCAUUUGAAACUGUAGUUCUUGAGUGUCGGAGAGGUAAUCGGAUUCCGUGUGUAGCGGUGAAAUGCGUAGAUAUACGGAGGAACACCAGUGGCGAAGGCGGUUACUGGACGAUAACUGACGCUGAGGCGCGAAAGCGUGGGGAGCAAACAGGAUUAGAUACCUGGUAGUCCACGCUGUAAACGAUGGAUACUAGGUGUGGGGGGACUGACCCCCUCCGUCCGCAGUUAACACAAUAAGUAUCCCACCUGGGGAGUACGAUCGCAAGGUUGAAACUCAAGGAAUUGACGGGGGCC